rnacentral:rRNA from 1 species
UACAGAGGGGGCAAGCGUUGUUCGGAAUUACUGGGCGUAAAGGGCGCGUAGGCGGCCUUCUAAGUCGAACGUGAAAUCCCCGGGCUCAACCCGGGAACUGCGUCCGAUACUGGAAGGCUUGAAUCCGGGAGAGGGAUGCGGAAUUCCAGGUGUAGCGGUGAAAUGCGUAGAUAUCUGGAGGAACACCGAUGGCGAAGGCAAUCCCCUGGGCCUGCACUGACGCUCAUGCACGAAAGCGUGGGGAGCAAACAGG